AAACGAGCGAUGAAAAAGGAUCAGUAAAUAAAAAAUGGUGCCAGAGAAUGGAGCCCGCCGGCUGAAAAGCUCCAUCACCCGCUUUUUUAUUGAACCUGCCUUUUGAGCCUUUAGGAAAACCUAAACGCAGACCCGGCGUUAUCGGGAUCAGAGUGUGCAGAAUUUUCAUUUCUGCAAACAAAGGUGGUACCACGGAAGCAAACACCCUUUCGUCCUUUAC
rnacentral:ncRNA from 1 species